rnacentral:rRNA from 1 species
CAAGUAAGACAAGUGUUAUUCAUCAUUAUUAGGUUUAAAGCGUACCUAGACGGCAUUUUACACAUAAAUUGUCAAUUUUUUGCUAGAGUUUAAUAGGGGAGGAUAAUAUUAGGACUAUUGGUGUAGAGAUGAAAUUCUUUGAUACUAAUAGAAUGUGUAACGGCGAAGGUAACCCUCUAUCUAUAAACUGACGUUGAGGAACGAAGGCUUGGGGAGCGAAUAGGAUU